CGUAACAAGGUAACCGUAGGGGAACCUGCGGUUGGAUCACCUCCUUACCUUAAAGAAGCG
rnacentral:rRNA from 2 species